GCCACUCAAGAUCCAGUUCUGAGGGAAAAGUUUGCUGGAGAACCUGAGCAUGUUAUUAAUUUCUUCUUUAUGUUGGCAGAGGAGCUGAGGGAGAUAAUGUCUGAGCUUGGUUUCCAUACAGUCAAUGAGAUGGUUGGUCGAUCGGACAUGCUUGAAGUUGAUAAAGAAGUCAUCAAGAACAAUGAAAAGCUGGAAAAUAUUGAUCUCUCCCUGCUACUUAGACCUGCUGCUGACAUUCGGCCUGAAGCAGCUCAGUAUUGUGUCCAGAAGCAGGAUCAUGGCUUGGACAUGGCUUUGGAUAAAAAAUUGGUAAAACUAUCCAAGGCUGCUUUGGAAAAAAGUCUUCCUGUGUACAUUGAGACUCCAGUCUGCAAUGUGAAUCGUGCUGUUGGAACAAUGCUUAGUCAUGAAGUUACUAAAUGUUACCACUUGGCAGGGCUUCCAGCAGAUACUAUACAUAUCAAGCUUAAUGGAAGUGCAGGGCAGAGUCUGGG
rnacentral:misc_RNA from 1 species